AAUUAACAGAGCUUGGCAAUUUGUAUCUCAAAGCCCUGUAUGGACAGUAGCCAAACAACUAAUCAUCCACGGUUUUCUGACAAUCAUAUAAGUUUUAUUUAAAGGAAAAAUGUCAAAUUUGGCCCAGUAUUUGAAAAGAAGAGGGGGAACACGUUAAAAACUUAGGUCUCCUAGAAAUGUUUUAAUAAUUUGAAAAAAAAAAAAAAAAAAAGCCCACGGGAACAACUGUUCUUAAACAACUAAAUAUUUGCCAGAAGAAUCUGUAACCCAAUUACUGCAGCAUUAAGAACCUGAAAGUCACUGUUACAAAAAUGUAACUGAUCACUGGCACAAGUAAACAGUCUAAAGAGCAAAAGUUAAAUUGGACUUUAAAAUCCCUCUCAGUUUGAUACUUAGAGCAGCCACCUCUGAGGUAGCAUAUAACAGCUGUGCAAAACUACAUGUGACAAGAGAUUAGGCCAGGACACUGGGUACGGCAUGUGGAUGUAUGUGUAAAGGAAAACCUCAGCUCAUGGAAUACUAUGAGGAGGGUCGGUUAGCACAUUCCCUGGGCUCUGGAAAGUGUCACAGACACUCUGUUGCAGUGUGUUACACAGAACUAACUCACCAGGUCAUAUAAAAUUCUAGGCGGCAGCAGGGAGCUGGGAGCCACGAAGCCUCAAAUGCUAAUUCUGGAUCUACAUAAUUUGGUUUAAGCAACUGUCUGAAUCAGAUGGAGCCCAAAGCAGCUGCAGACGUAUGGUCCUAUCUCGGCUGCAGGCGUCAUGUAACUGAAGUAUUAAGAAAAUGAUCACAACCACAAAAACCAGGAGAGUGAAAGUGAGCAGAUGAAGGGAUUUUUAGUCAAACACUUCAAUGACCGCUUCACACAUUGGAGAAAAGUCAUCUUGGUUAAAGAGCCAAUACAAUUACGAUAUGAGCGACAACACUAAGAUCCCCAACAACACCAACAGCAAAAAGCAAAAUAAACAACAAAACAAAACAAAACCACAAAAAAACAAGUUACCAUUCCUGAUAUUUCUAAGUUAAAAAACAAGCAGCAAAAAAAUCCCUUAUGAAUGUCACACUCUCCCUAUACAUCAUAAUGAAGGGGCAGGGGAUGAUAGAACAGGCCUCAUUUUGUCAAAAUCCUUUGCAGUUUACCUUUAAGAUUCUCUCUUUUUCCUUUUUAGCCUGAUGAGGCAAAGGAUCCAUUAUGCCAAAUAAAUGAACUGGCCUGGAUCAGAUUAGAUCCUGCUUGUGGCUGCACCUACCAUUUCAAAAAUACAGACUGGAGACAGAAUACUAUAACCUUCUUGAUUAUCAUCAGUCUGCUACCAGCAAUGAGAAACAUUUUAGGAAUUGUAUGUUCCUGUAAUACAACUGCUAGCAUUCCCACAAUGGCAACAUGCAAAUAUUUUUCAUGAAAAAGGACAAUUUUUUUUUUAUAGAAAAUAGGCUUUAGCCAAAGAUACAAGAACAUAGGACCGGAAGGGACCCCCUGGGUCAAUUAAUCCAGUCCCCUGCUAUCACAGAUGACUAUGUUAUAUAAUCCUUUUCAUAACAUAAGCGAUAGGGCUCAGUACAGAAGUAACUGUGUGAAAUUCCAUAGCCCAUAAUGUACAGGAGGUCAGACUACAAGACGUGAUGAUGCUCCUUUCUGGCCUUAACAAUCUAGACAAGGUUCACAAAAUGUCCCCCAUUUUCUGACUACUUCUAAUGAACUUUUAGAAAAAGAAAGGCAGAAAAAGCCCUCACCCUAUACACAUGACAAGCUGACUCCUCUCAGAAAUAAAGCCUGUGUGUAAGAGGAGCCAACUGCCAUUAUAGUGUACAUUUGGCUUAGGUUUUCAGCAUUCACGCUCCUUCCCUAGCCAGCCCCAAAAAUGGCAAACUCAGAAACCAGCAUCACCAUGAGAAAGGACUGUGAGUGCAUUGGUGAGCUGACGUGCCCUGGGGUUGGCUGAGGUAGCAUGGGGCCACUUGGUCCUCGUUUGUCCUCAGAAGCAGCUCUAGUUCACAUAUCUCUGUUCCUUCUUUUUCCAGACUGUGGGGCAAGAUAGCUCACUCUGCUGGAAACUAUAACUACAAACAUUGUCUAAGAUUGGAAACAAAUCCGCUAACACUCUCUUUCGAUGCCUCAAGGCGAGAUCCUCAGUGCGCCCAGAAAAAUGGAGCUUAAAUAAAUAGUGGAUCUGAAACUGACAUAAAAGGACAUUCCAAAGCUAGCAGUUUUGAAGCAGUAAUUUCAGUACUUAUUUUUACAUGAGAAAGCAUGAUCUACGGAUACAGUAAAACAAAGAGAAAGUGCCUGUAAUUGGCUUACUGAGGCAUGAUUUCUACAAGCCAUGACUGUAACGUCUUGUAAAUAUUUUAUCUGAAGUCGCCCUCAUGUUUUAGGCUCAGUCAGACACAAAGGAUCAUAUCCUGGCAUCAGUUUCUAUGCAGAGCUGAGUUCCAUCAGCUGAUUGAUGCCAGGAUAUAUAGCAUAUAUUAAUCAUAAAGCUGUGGUAAUGUCAAAGCUUCCUUCUUACUCAGGCAGCAACUGUGAACUACUAAUUACCAGUACAGGAGUGCAAAGUAUCAUUUAGUAUUAUGAAUUAUGUUAGUCCUCCUAGGUCUUGAAAAGCCUAGUAAUCUGUCUUUUCUUUUUAUAUAAUAUACAUAUUAUAAAUAUAAUUUAUUAUAAUAUAUACAUAAUAUACAUAUAUUUUUGUUCAUUA